CCUACGUGAGGCAGCAGUAGGGAAUCUUCCACAAUGGGCGAAAGCCUGAUGGAGCAACGCCGCGUGGGUGAAGAAGGUCUUCGGAUCGUAAAACCCUGUUGUUAGAGAAGAAAGUGCGUGAGAGUAACUGUUCACGUUUCGACGGUAUCUAACCAGAAAGCCACGGCUAACUACGUGCCAGCAGCCGCUGUAAUACGUAGGUGGCAAGCGUUAUCCGGAUUUAUUGGGCGUAAAGGGAACGCAGGCGGUCUUUUAAGUCUGAUGUGAAAGCCUUCGGCUUAACCGGAGUAGUGCAUUGGAAACUGGGAGACUUGAGUGCAGAAGAGGAGAGUGGAACUCCAUGGGUAGCGGUGAAAUGCGUAGAUAUAUGGAAGAACACCAGUGGCGAAAGCGGCUCUCUGGUCUGUAACUGACGCUGAGGUUCGAAAGCGUGGGUAGCAAACAGGAUUAGAUACCCGGGUAGUC
rnacentral:rRNA from 1 species